ACUUUCGGGGAUGGAGGGGAAGCCCAGGUACUCUCUGUGCUUCCUAACUGGCCGUGGAAGGGGAGGUGGAGACGGGAAGCGGCAGUCGGUUUCACUGCAGCGUCUGGGAUUCCUGCCCCGAGUUCUUCCUCAGAAACCGGCGGCGGCUGCGGACAGGGGCGGCUGGGCUGAGGGGCGGGAAGCCGCUGGCCAGCUUCACCCUCUCUCUGGGGCUCCUGCAGGGCAAGGGGAGCGGAUGUGAAGUUGUCCCUGUAGAUAUAAUUAACAGCAUUGUGGACAAGACCACAAGUUCAGAAGGAGCUUACAAAGGAGAAAUUCAUGCUGCAAAUGGUGACACUUAAGCCAAAAGCAAUAAAAUGCAUUCAUCUGGGACACUGUCGCCCUGGGGUUUAUGGCUUCCACAGGACAAUCCAAGUCUGGGCUUCAGACCUCGUCAUUCUGCCACACUGUGACCCCGAGGCAGGGCGCGCCAUAAACAGACCGGGAGGCUGCUCUGUGUGCCCUCGCUGCGGGCUGGCUGCUCUGGGAAGAACACGCAGCCCUCAACAGGGAAAUGCGAUAACUAUUCUGCUUCUUGGAAUGAUUUGCAGAUUCAUGCAUUCAAACAUUCUUCAGAUGCUGACUGGUGGUAUAUGUCACCACGUUCCCGGUGGGAUGCGACCUGGUGGUGGAAAACAGACAGCUCACUUAAACGCCAGUUCGGCCACUUACUAACCGUGUGACCUUGGGAAACUUACUUAACUUCUCUGAGCCGAAGUUUACUCACAGCAGAAAGAGAGACCACAGCUUCCACCACCGGCAACCUCCCACUCCGCCCAGCCCAGCCCAUUGACUCCUCCAAAUGAGAAGAACCAGACCCAUGUGUUCGGAUCUGCCACUGCGAGUCGUCAGCAGAGGCUCAGCUGUCACCUUCUCAAUGGGCUCCAUGCAAACCCCCCGCCCCAGCCUGUGCAGGUCAGUGGCCAGACCAGUUCCCCCAGGGCUUUGAGAGGAAUUCGCCAUAAAUGGAGUUAAUCUGCACGAUCCAGAAGAUGAACACCAAAGGGCUCAUAGAAGCAGCAGGGUGCGGCACUGGGAAACCUUGUGCUCCAGGAUGCUCGCAAGGAAGGGGCCCCGGUCAGUGAUUGGAAGUGGCUUUGAAGUGGCCAUGAGGCGCAGAGUGCAAUGGGUCAUGAAGUGUAUACACAACGGGUACAGGCUCAGUUAACAGGGUGGAAAGAUGGCGGGUUUUCCAGAUUUCUUAAGUGCUCUCUACUUACCCUCCAGAAGGAAGAAUGAGUGAACUGGACGGCUGAUGAUUGUGAACGAG
rnacentral:lncRNA from 1 species